CUUUGGUCCAGACUGAAAUAUCUCAACAAGUAUUGGAUGGGUUGCCUUGAAAUGUGGCUCAGGAUGAAUUAUAGUCAAGUGAUGAUAACAACUGAGCCAACUCCAUCUGCUGAUGAAGACCAUGAGAUUUGGCAGAAAGCCCCAGAGCUGGAGAACAACGCAGGCUACACACGCUUACUGAUGUACAGUGUAUGCUACCAUACACACUCUCUCUCUCUUUAUCAAGUCCAGUAGUCCCAAUAGCUCUCUCUCUCUCUCUCUCUCU